CGACUAAGCGUACACGGUGGAUGCCCUGGCAGUCAGAGGCGAUGAAGGACGUGCUAAUCUGCGAAAAGCGUCGGUAAGGUGAUAUGAACCGUUACAGCCGGCGAUGUCCGAAUGGGGAAACCCAGUGCAAUUCGUUGCACUAUCGUUAACUGAAUACAUAGGUUAACGAGGCGAACCGGGGGAACUGAAACAUCUAAGUACCCCGAGGAAAAGAAAUCAACC
rnacentral:rRNA from 1 species